rnacentral:rRNA from 1 species
GACGAACGCUGGCGGCGUGCUUAACACAUGCAAGUCGAACGAAGAGCGAUGGAAGCUUGCUUCUAUCACUCUUAGUGGCGAACGGGUGAGUAACGCGUAAUCAACCUGCCCUUCAGAGGGGGACAACAGUUGGAAACGACUGCUAAUACCGCAUACGAUCUAAUCUCGGCAUCGAGGAUAGAUGAAAGGUGGCCUCUACAUGUAAGCUAUCACUGAAGGAGGGGAUUGCGUCUGAUUAGCUAGUUGGAGGGGUAACGGCCCACCAAGGCGAUGAUCGGUAGCCGGUCUGAGAGGAUGAACGGCCACAUUGGGACUGAGACACGGCCCAGACUCCUACGGGAGGCAGCAGUGGGGAAUCUUCCGCAAUGGACGAAAGUCUGACGGAGCAACGCCGCGUGAGUGAUGACGGCCUUCGGGUUGUAAAGCUCUGUUAAUCGGGACGAAAGGCCUUCUUGCGAAUAGUGAGAAGGAUUGACGGUACCGGAAUAGAAAGCCACGGCUAACUACGUG